GUUUCAAAACUAGGAUCCCCACCAGUGAAGAUGUUUCUAAAUCCUAUGUAACUUAAUCUGAUUUAUGCAGGAGAUUUCUUCAUUAGUAAAAUACGAUUUUGGGUUCAUUUCCCUCAUUUCUGUAUGUUCAUUGAAAGGACAGAUUAGGGUGACAGAGAUUAGAAUAAAUAACUUAAUAAAUUAUAACAUCUUCUAUUUUUAUUCAUCAGGUAUCCAACUGAGCUGUCUAGAAGAGCCAAAAUUAACUUAGUAAUGGAUUGGCAACAUUCUAAUUUACGAAAUGGAGCAGAGCCUGUUUCAAACCACAUGGAGCUUCAGGGACUAGAAUUUCUUCAGUUUGCUUUCUACUGAUUCAACUGCCUUCUAAUCCGCGAGAUACCCUUCCACUUGUCACACGUCUCUGGGACACGUAUCUAGUCGAUGGAGAUGCCUUACCAGAUUUUCUUGUGUAUAUAUUUGCCAGUUUUCUUCUAACGGUACUAUCUAUCUAUAUAACAACAAUAUGAGCCCGUUUCUAUGUUGUUAUUGAAACAGAACUAAAAGGAAGCGGUGCUACUGGUCUCGCGAUUUCACUCUUAGGGGCUAUGGUUAUGUCAUUAUCCAGUAUACCACUCACUGUAUGAUGAUUUCAUCUGGAUGCAGAAAUUUGGAGAUCCUAUGUUUCAUAGGCAUGUUGCAGAGCUCUGCAGCCAUUGGAGCCAAUGUCUUCUGUUUCAUCCUCCCCACAUAUUCGAUUAAAUGCUCCUUUUGCUGGUCUUGUUAUAUGCGUUACUGGGCUAUCCAAAGGGUUCUAACUUCUAAGAAAGAUGAAAUUGAAGAAACCAAGCAAGCAAAGCAGAGAAGAAACAUCAAACAUGGCUGCUACUGUUGGAAUCACAGAAUUUAUUGGAGCAGAGAUGAUUGAGAAGGCAAUUUCUUAGUAGAUGAAGCUAUUUUGUCCAAGCUAAAUUCAAAGAAGGCAAAGGUCCUUGUUGAGGCAAAUCUAUAUUGCGCCCUUCAAUUGAAAGGCAAAUUCAGUUGCCAAAUAUUAGUAUAGUUGUGAUGUGUGUGUGAAGACCAUUUAGAAGGAUGAAUUUUUGAAACUCUGCUUUGUGACAGCUUCU